rnacentral:rRNA from 1 species
ACGGCCAUACCAUGCUGAAUAUACCGGUUCUCGACAGAUCACCGAAGUCAAGCAUCAUUGGGCGCGGUCAGUACUUGGGUGGGUGACCACCAGGGAACACCGCGUGCCGUU